CCGAUCCCACCUUCGACGGCUCCCUCCACAAGGGUUGGGCCACCGGCUUCAGGUGUUACCGACUUUCAUGACUUGACGGGCGGUGUGUACAAGACCCGGGAACGUAUUCACCGCAGCGUUGCUGAUCUGCGAUUACUAGCGACUCCGACUUCAUGAGGUCGAGUUGCAGACCUCAAUCCGAACUGGGACCGGCUUUUUGGGAUUCGCUCCACCUUACGGUAUUGCAGCCCUUUGUACCGGCCAUUGUAGCAUGCGUGAAGCCCAAGACAUAAGGGGCAUGAUGAUUUGACGUCAUCCCCACCUUCCUCCGAGUUGACCCCGGCAGUAUCCCAUGAGUUCCCACCAUUACGUGCUGGCAACAUAGAACGAGGGUUGCGCUCGUUGCGGGACUUAACCCAACAUCUCACGACACGAGCUGACGACAACCAUGCACCACCUGUUUACGAGUGUCCAAAGAGUUGACUAUUUCUAGCCCGUUCUCGUAUAUGUCAAGCCUUGGUAAGGUUCUUCGCGUUGCAUCGAAUUAAUCCGCAUGCUCCGCCGCUUGUGCGGGUCCCCGUCAAUUCCUUUGAGUUUUAGCCUUGCGGCCGUACUCCCCAGGCGGGGAACUUAAUGCGUUAGCUGCGUCACGGAAUCCGUGGAAUGGACCCCACAACUAGUUCCCAACGUUUACGGGGUGGACUACCAGGGUAUCUAAGCCUGUUUGCUCCCCACCCUUUCGCUCCUCAGCGUCAGUUACGGCCCAGAGAUCUGCCUUCGCCAUCGGUGUUCCUCCUGAUAUCUGCGCAUUCCACCGCUACACCAGGAAUUCCAAUCUCCCCUACCGCACUCUAGUCUGCCCGUACCCACUGCAGGCUGGAGGUUGAGCCUCCAGUUUUCACAGCAGACGCGACAAACCGCCUACGAGCUCUUUACGCCCAAUAAUUCCGGAUAACGCUUGCGCCCUACGUAUUACCGCGGCUGCUGGCACGUAGUUAGCCGGCGCUUUUUCUGCAGGUACCGUCACUUUCGCUUCUUCCCUGCUAAAAGAGGUUUACAACCCGAAGGCCGUCGUCCCUCACGCGGCGUUGCUGCAUCAGGCUUUCGCCCAUUGUGCAAUAUUCCCCACUGCUGCCUCCCGUAGGAGUCUGGGCCGUGUCUCAGUCCCAGUGUGGCCGGUCACCCUCUCAGGCCGGCUACCCGUCGACGCCUUGGUGAAGCCAUACCUCACCAACAAGCUGAUAGGCCGCGAGCUCAUCCCUGACCGAAAUUCUUUCCAAC
rnacentral:rRNA from 1 species